CCUACGGGUGGCAGCAGUAGGGAAUAUUGGACAAUGGGGGCAACCCUGAUCCAGCAAUGCCGCGUGAGUGAUGAAGGCCUUAGGGUUGUAAAGCUCUUUUACCCGAGAUGCAGUAUCGGGAGAAUAAGCUCCGGCUAACUCCGUGCCAGCAGCCGCGGUAAUACGGAGGGAGCUAGCGUUGUUCGGAAUUACUGGGCGUAAAGCGCACGUAGGCGGCUAUUUAAGUCAGAGGUGAAAGCCCGGGGCUCAACCCCGGAACUGCCUUUGAGACUGGAUAGCUUGAAUCCAGGAGAGGUGAGUGGAAUUCCGAGUGUAGAGGUGAAAUUCGUAGAUAUUCGGAAGAACACCAGUGGCGAAGGCGGCUCACUGGCUGUAUUGACGCUGAGGUGCGAAAGCGUGGGGAGCAAACAGGAUUAGAUACCCUAGUAGUC
rnacentral:rRNA from 1 species